AGAGUUUGAUCCUGGCUCAGAUUGAACGCUGGCGGCAUGCCUUACACAUGCAAGUCGAACGGUAACGCGGGGGUAACCCUGGCGACGAGUGGCGAACGGGUGAGUAAAGCAUCGGAACGUAUCCUGAAGUGGGGGAUAACCUAGCGAAAGCUAGGCUAAUACCGCAUACGCCCUGAGGGGGAAAGUGGGGGAUCGCAAGACCUCACGCUACUGGAGCGGCCGAUGUCGGAUUAGCUAGUUGGUGAGGUAAAGGCUUACCAAGGCGACGAUCCGUAGCUGGUUUGAGAGAACGACCAGCCACACUGGAACUGAAACACGGUCCAGACUCCUACGGGAGGCAGCAGUGGGGAAUUUUGCGCAAUGGGGGAAACCCUGACGCAGCAACGCCGCGUGGAGGAUGAAGCCCCUUGGGGUGUAAACUCCUUUCGACCAAGACGAUAAUGACGGUACUGGUGGAAGAAGCACCGGCUAACUCUGUGCCAGCAGCCGCGGUAAUACAGAGGGUGCGAGCGUUGUUCGGAAUUAUUGGGCGUAAAGGGUGCGUAGGCGGUGCCACAAGUCACCUGUGAAAUCCCCGGGCUUAACCCGGGGCCUGCAGGCGAAACUGUGGUGCUGGAGUAUGGGAGAGGUGCGUGGAAUUCCCGGUGUAGCGGUGAAAUGCGUAGAUAUCGGGAGGAACACCUGUGGCGAAAGCGGCGCACUGGACCAUAACUGACGCUGAUGCACGAAAGCUAGGGGAGCAAACAGGAUUAGAUACCCUGGUAGUCCUAGCCCUAAACGAUGAUUGCUUGGUGUAGCACGUACCCAAUCCUGCUGUGCCGCAGCUACGCGAUAAGCAAUCCGCCUGGGGAGUACGGUCGCAAGGCUGAAACUCAAAGGAUUGACGGGGCCCGCACAAGCGGUGGAGCAUGUGGUUCAAUUCGACGCAACGCGAGAACCUUACUGGGCU
rnacentral:rRNA from 1 species